GGCGGACGGGUGAGUAAUGCUUGGGAAUAUGCCUUAUGGUGGGGGACAACAGUUGGAAACGACUGCUAAUACCGCAUGAUGUCUACGGACCAAAGUGGGGGACCUUCGGGCCUCACGCCAUAAGAUUAGCCCAAGUGGGAUUAGCUAGUUGGUGAGGUAGUGGCUCACCAAGGCGACGAUCCCUAGCUGGUUUGAGAGGAUGAUCAGCCACACUGGGACUGAGACACGGCCCAGACUCCUACGGGAGGCAGCAGUGGGGAAUAUUGCACAAUGGGCGCAAGCCUGAUGCAGCCAUGCCGCGUGUGUGAAGAAGGCCUUCGGGUUGUAAAGCACUUUCAGUAAGGAGGAAAGGUUAAGUGUUAAUAGCACUUAGCUGUGACGUUACUUACAGAAGAAGCACCGGCUAACUCCGUGCCAGCAGCCGCGGUAAUACGGAGGGUGCGAGCGUUAAUCGGAAUUACUGGGCGUAAAGCGUAC
rnacentral:rRNA from 1 species